rnacentral:rRNA from 1 species
UACGGGGGGAGCAAGCGUUGUUCGGAUUUACUGGGCGUAAAGGGCGCGUAGGCGGUCAGCACAAGUCAGUUGUGAAAUCUCCGGGCUUAACUCGGAAAGGUCAACUGAUACUGUGCGACUAGAGUGCGGAAGGGGCAACUGGAAUUCUCGGUGUAGCGGUGAAAUGCGUAGAUAUCGAGAGGAACACCUGCGGCGAAGGCGGGUUGCUGGGCCGACACUGACGCUGAUGCGCGAAAGCCAGUGAAGCGAACGGG